rnacentral:rRNA from 1 species
CCUACGGGAGGCAGCAGUGAGGAAUAUUGGUCAAUGGUCGGGAGACUGAACCAGCCAAGCCGCGUGAGGGAGGAAGGUACAGAGUAUCGUAAACCUCUUUUGUCAGGGAACAAAGGCGGGGACGUGUCCCCGGAUGAGUGUACCUGAAGAAAAAGCAUCGGCUAACUCCGUGCCAGCAGCCGCGGUAAUACGGAGGAUGCGAGCGUUAUCCGGUUUUAUUGGGUUUAAAGGGUGCGCAGGCGGUCUGUUAAGUCAGCGGUCAAAGCCCGGGGCUCAACCCCGGCCCGCCGUUGAAACUGGCAGUCGCGAGUUGGAGAGAGGUAUGCGGAAUGCGCGGUGUAGCGGUGAAAUGCAUAGAUAUCGCGCAGAACUCCGAUUGCGAAGGCAGCAUGCCGGCUCCACACUGACGCUGAGGCACGAAAGCGUGGGUAUCGAACAGGAUUAGAUACCCCUGUAGUC